AAUUUUUGUGAAAUAAUAUCAUAUCUGCACCUUCAUGAACAGCACAGCUGGAGGAGAAUGUGAAUGAGACAACACCAACUCUGUCAGUGAAGCACCCUUUGAAAGAGGUGCUGCCUGUUCCAGUUGUGCAUUCAUAUAGCAAUUAAGAAAUCUAGAAGUUUACCUAAGUUUGCUUAGGAGAAAGAACUGAAGAAAGCAGUCCUAAAAUACAACUUUUCUAACAUCUGAAAAACAAGUAAUGCAACUUCGUGUUUAAAUAGUGCUUUUAAAAAUAAUAAUAAUAAUAAUAAUAAAAUAGAUUAGAUUGCAAGCUGUUUAGCUGAAGUGUGUAGGCAAGCCCUUGCAAACAAAGGAUGCUUUCUCUAAACCACAAAUCUAUUUGCACCAUGAAGACAGAGGCACUGUACUUACCCUUGCACAGCUAAGGAGCAGUCAGCUUGGAAAAGCUGCUUGUGGCCCAGGGGAACGUAACCUACCUGCUCUAGGGAAGGAAGGUAGCAGCAGCCAGCUGUCCACAGAAGGGAGCAAGGCUCUCCUUCAAGGAGCAGGAGGGCUCACAGCUGCUCUCCUGAGAGCAAGGAUCUGCAAGGCAGCCUGGCUUCAACCAGCUGGAGAAAAUCAACUGCUUUCCUCCAAGAGGCUAUAAAAGGGUGAGGCUGAGGAGGUGCAUGUGCUAUAGGAGCAGGCAGGACGGCCUGGGGGAAGAGGUGGGGUGUUUGCAUGGUGAUGUGGUGAGCCUCAGCGUAAGCAGUAUGCAGAGGAUGUGGGGCUAUAGCCGCCUGGCAGGCACCAAAGGAGGGCUGCUGUCUGCCUGCAUGGGGAGUACGAUGUCAAGCAGAGGCUCCUAGGAGGCCAUCAGUAAUCAGAAUGGUAAUUACCUCAUUUUUAUCAUCAUAAAGUCCAAACUUUUUCCCCCAGGUUUCUUCAUCACUUUUAAAAAACAAUGAUUUUACUAUUGAAUGGAGGACCUCCUGUACACAACAACUGAAAUCAAGCCACAGAAGUCUUUUGCACAAUGUAGCCCAAUAAUUAAAUAGUAAAUCAUCCCGUUUUCAGCUGGAUUCAGUAGACUGUGCUGAUGUUGCUAUACCUCUUUCUGGGCUUUGA
rnacentral:lncRNA from 1 species